rnacentral:rRNA from 1 species
UACGUAGGGUGCGAGCGUUGAUCCGGAAUUAUUGGGCGUAAAGGGCUCGUAGGCGGUUUGUCGCGUCGGGAGUGAAAACUCAGGGCUUAACUCUGAGCCUGCUUCCGAUACGGGCAGACUAGAGGUAUGCAGGGGAGAACGGAAUUCCUGGUGUAGCAGUGAAAUGCGUAGAUAUCAAGUGGAACACCAGUGGCGAAGGCGAAUCCCUGGAAAAUACCUGACACUGAGGCACGAAAGCUAGGGGAGCAAACAGG